GAUGAACGCUAGCUACAGGCUUAACACAUGCAAGUCGAGGGGCAGCAUGAAGGAAGCUUGCUUUCUUUGAUGGCGACCGGCGGAAGGGUGCGUAACGCGUGAGCAACUUGCCCGUAUCAGGGGGAUAAGCGUUGGAAACGACGUCUAAUACCCCAUAACAACAGACCCCGCAUGAGGUUUGUUUGAAAGCUUCGGUGGAUACGGAUAGGCUCGCGAGACAUUAGCUAGUUGGAGUGGUAACGGCACACCAAGGCUACGAUGUCUAGGGGUUCUGAGAGGAAGGUCCCCCACAUUGGAACUGAGACACGGUCCAAACUCC
rnacentral:rRNA from 1 species